UAUUGCACAAUGGGCGCAAGCCUGAUGCAGCAACGCCGCGUGAGGGAUGACGGCCUUCGGGUUGUAAACCUCUUUUAGUAGGGAAGAAGCGUAAGUGACGGUACCUGCAGAAAAGGCACCGGCUAACUACGUGCCAGCAGCCGCGGUAAUACGUAGGGUGCAAGCGUUGUCCGGAAUUAUUGGGCGUAAAGAGCUCGUAGGCGGCUUGUCGCGUCUACGGUGAAAUCCAGGAGCUCAACCCCGGGCCUGCAGUGGGUACGGGCAGGCUAGAGUGCGGUAGGGGAGAUUGGAAUUCCUGGUGUAGCGGUGGAAUGCGCAGAUAUCAGGAGGAACACCAAUGGCGAAGGCAGAUCUCUGGGCCGCUACUGACGCUGAGGAGCGAAAGCAUGGGGAGCGAACAG
rnacentral:rRNA from 1 species